CUUCCCUCAAGAUACUUUAUUAUCCCCCUAAAAAGAUAAAUACCGGGUAAAAUGAGAAUCUAAGUGUUAUAUAUAUACAAAUUCUAGCCUUAUAAAACAAUUUUCGAUACCUUGGUAGGUUCAACCAACUCCAAUCUAUAUCCAUAGCUAUAUAUGUAUCUAAAAUAAACACAAAAAAAAAAGUAAAGGAUACUGAAGUGAAAUUUUUUGAGAGGCUAACACAUUUCAUACACGGACAAGCAAUCUUUCCAUCAGCAGAGGAUUUAAGAGUAAAAUCUAUAAAAUUUUUGGAUUUGGCAUUCUACUUAUUUUAGAUUUAGGUCAAAUUUGAAAUAAAAAAAUAUGAUCCAAAUGAAAUUCACGUUUGGAUCCGAGUCCAAAAAUUCAAAAUCCGAUCAAAAAUUGAUAAUUUUUAAAAAUUAAAAGAUGACUUAACAGUAGAAAAAUAAUUUAUCUCACCUUAAGAGUGAUAAUGGAUCUCAGUGAUUUGAAAAUCUAACCCAGACUUUAAUCAAAUUUUUGGAUUGGCAUUCUAUUUAUUUUAGAUUUAGGUCGAAUUUGAAAUCAAAAAUAUAAUCCGAAUGAAAUUUGCAUUUGGAUUCGAAUCCAUUUGAUUCUGAGUCCAAAAAUCCAAAAUCUGAUCAAAAAUAUUUUUUGUUGAUAAUUUUUUAAAAAUAAAUAUAAAAUUUGAGAUAAUUAAAAAAAUAAAUUAAUUUUGAUAAAAUAUUUUGAAUUUUUAUAUAUCUUAUUUAUCCUUGAUCAAUCACUGUCAUUUUUUUAGGGACACAUUUUUCGAAUGACUCUUCUUUUCAAGAUAUACUUUAUGUAGAUUAUAAAAUUGAAUCUUAUAUUAUUUUUAUAUUUAUUUUAUCACAUAUAGAUAAACAUCGUCGGAGAACGAAAAAGUGUCCUGAAAACCGUGGGCAUGCUUUUUUUUUCUGUUUUACCUUUGUUUUUUUCCAUCAUUGAGAGUCACAAUCGGGUGGGAGCAUUAGAACACUAAAACAGGGACCAACUCACACCGCCGCACCUCCCACAAAAUCCCACAUGCUGGAUAAAAAAUUAGGCUUCAACGGGACCCCUCCCAUCUCCCUCAUGGUGCUCUCUUUGAACCUAAAAAAGCCUCACGUGCUCUCUCCCUCACGAAACAAGAGAGAGAGAAAAAAAAAGAAGGCUACAACUCCCACAAAAUCCUCUGUUUCUAUUCCCUGUUUUUCCCUUUUUUUUUUUUUUUCCGUUCCCAAGAGUCUCAAUCGGAUGGGAUGCUUACAAAAACCUCAAUAGAACCUAAGAUACCCCUCCCAUCUCCCUCAAGUGCUCUGUUCUCCAAUGAUCUCCAAAGAAAGAGAAUGAAUUAAAGAAAAAUACAAGAAGGGAAAAGGAAAAAUGAUGAAUCCGCAUGGGAAAAUGUCUUACCUUCAACUUUUUUUUUUUUCCUUGAUUUUUUUCCUCUGUUUUCGCCGGUUUUCACUGUGUUUUCUCCAUCUUCAAGAGUCUGAAUCGCGUGGGGGGCCAUCCUCAAGAGUUCGCGCGGGAGGCUUGGAGCGGCUGAAUAGGGAAGAAUUUAGCUAGGUUUUUCAUCCCAAAAAACUAUGUUGGGGCGCCGUUCGGAGAAAUGGAAAGGCGCCAUUUUUUUCUCUGGGCGGUGGGUACUACUUAUUUUCCUUAGCGUGACAUUCAUAUUAGGAAUGGGAUAAUUAUAAUGUGGCAUUGAUCAGAUAGAUGAGAAAAGGUAUAAUCAAUUUCCAUAUUGAAAAUAGUUUCAACUCCAAAUUAAAUUAUUUAAAAUAUUAUGUUCAAUCUGAUUUAAAUGUUCCAUGGAUAAGAUCAAUUUAAAAGACAGCCCUUUUACCAUUUAAAUGGCAUAAAGAUCAACCCAUUUAUCUGAUCAAACUCGACCUAGAUGUUAAAUGGGAUAGAUGGGGUAAACGGGUUAAAUAAAUUAGAUUCAUAAAAAUUUUAAAAAAAAAUUUAUCUUUUGAUACGUGAAAUAUAACCUAAAAUCAAUAAAAAUUAAUAAAAUAUAAGUGACAACUACAUAUGAACCUCAAGGAUAUAGGAUGUAAAGAUACAUAAGAUAUAAGUUAUUGAACAUGAUACGAUCCAGGAGAAAACUUAAUGUGAAAUAUUUCGGAUACUA
rnacentral:lncRNA from 1 species